GUUAGGCCAAUUAUUUAAAUUGGUUAAGGAUGGAAUUAAUUCUAAUUAAUUUCGUGGGAUGACUUACAAAUAUGAGUUUGAGUUUGGAGCGGAAUCUAGAGACGCGGUCUGCGUAUUUGAGUCCGAAACAUCAAAAUUAGGCAGGAUAGACUGUAACCACGAAAAUGUGUCACGAAAAUGAGACAUGUCUCAUAAUAUUUUUAAAUGUGUCACGAAAAUGAGACAUGCCUCAUAAUAUUUUUAUAUAUCCACCAUUCUCUUUUACAAUGCUCUUAUUUAUAGAUAUAUGGACUUGGAAGUUUCAUGACGUAAAAUAU
rnacentral:lncRNA from 1 species